rnacentral:lncRNA from 1 species
CCGGUUCUUCCUCAGUGAUUUUUUUCUGUCCCCGCAGAUAAAGAGCAAAACAACAUCGUGUUUGUGUGGUAAUUAUAUUUGAAGUUAUCGUCUUUUUUAGGGCCUCGGGUCGGCGUAAAUCAGAUAUGAAUACUUAAAUUUUCUAAAGAUCUAUAUAUGUACGUACAUGCAAUAUAAGUCUCUUUCCUCUAACGAUCGUAUUAUAAAACUGUGACUUUCGUCCCUUCACACAGGUGGUCCCCAUUUGAAACAAAAAGACGUAUCGAAAAAAUGGACGAUAUAUAUAAAAAUAUAGUGUCUUGUA